CCUACGUGGUGCAGCAGUGGGGAAUAUUGGACAAUGGGGGGAACCCUGAUCCAGCGACGCCGCGUGAGUGAAGAAGUAUUUCGGUAUGUAAAGCUCUAUCAGCAGGGAAGAAAAUGACGUUACCUGACUAAGAAGCCCCGGCUAACUACGUGCCAGCAGCCGCGGUAAUACGUGGGGGGCAAGCGUUAUACGGAUUUACUGGGGUUAAAGGGAGUGUAGACGGUACAGCAAGUCUGAUGGUAAAUGUCGGGGCCCAACCCCGGGACUGCAUUGGAAACUGUUGAACUGGAGUACAGGAGAGGUAAGCGGAAUGCCUAGUGUAGCGGUGAAAUGCGUAGAUAUUAGGAAGAACACCAGUGGCGAAGGCGGCUUACUGGACUGUAACUGACGUUGAGGCUCGAAAGCGUGGGGAGCAAACAGGAUUAGAUACCCGUGUAGUC
rnacentral:rRNA from 1 species